rnacentral:misc_RNA from 1 species
AAAUGCGAUAAGUAGUGUGAAUUGCAGAAUUCAGUGAAUCAUCGAAUCUUUGAACGCACUUUGCGCCCCUCGGCAUUCCGUGGGGCAUGCCUGUUCGAGCGUCAUCUACACCCUCAAGCUCUGCUUGGUGUUGGGCGUCUGUCCCGCCUCCGCGCGCGGACUCGCCCCAAAUGCAUUGGCAGCGGUUCCUUGCCCCCCUCUUUGCGCAGCACAUUGCCAUUCGAGGCGGCGGCGGCCCGCGUCCAACAAGCUCAACCCCCCCGUCUUUGACCUCGGAUCAGGUAGGGAUACCCGCUGAACUUAAGC